AUGACCCUGCCCCAGAGCAGCUUACAAAUGUUAUCCGCCACAUUUGGAAGAGGACUGAAGGCUCUGGACUAUGGAGUGGCUACUGCACCAAGCCAAGUGAGAAGUGGCGGGGGUCAUGCAAAGAAACUGUUGGGGUGGUGGGACACCUUCCCUUCUGUACCCAGUAUCUCCUCACCAAUUUCUCCAAGGCUGCCCUGGCUCUGGCCAGGUUUCUUUUACUGCUCUUCCAAGAAAGGAAUGAGGUGUGCUAUCCUACGUUUGCUUGACUUCUUGACAGUCUUAGAAAAGUCUGUCUUGUUGAAGAGUCUGGGAUAGUCAGUCAGCUGAGACAGGAAAAUUACAUUUCUACCGGGCCUGACAAAGGCAUACGUUCACACAAAUAAAACCCAACAUGAAGUAGGUGUUCUGGUAUACACCUGUGGUCCCAGCAUUUGAGAGGCUGAGGCAGGAGG
rnacentral:lncRNA from 1 species